UUGAACGCUGGCGGCAGGCCUAACACAUGCCAGUCGAACGGUAACAGGAAACAGCUUGCUGUUUCGCUGACGAGUGGCGGACGGGUGAGUAAUGUCUGGGAAACUGCCUGAUGGAGGGGGAUAACUACUGGAAACGGUAGCUAAUACCGCAUAACGUCGCAAGACCAAAGAGGGGGACCCUCGGGCCUCUUGCCAUCGGAUGUGCCCAGAUGGGAUUAGCUUGUUGGUGGGGUAACGGCUCACCAAGGCGACGAUCCCUAGCUGGUCUGAGAGGAUGACCAGCCACACUGGAACUGAGACACGGUCCAGACUCCUACGGGAGGCAGCAGUGGGGAAUAUUGCACAAUGGGCGCAAGCCUGAUGCAGCCAUGCCGCGUGUAUGAAGAAGGCCUUCGGGUUGUAAAGUACUUUCAGCGGGGAGGAAGGGAGUAAAGUUAAUACCUUUGCUCAUUGACGUUACCCGCAGAAGAAGCACCGGCUAACUCCGUG
rnacentral:rRNA from 1 species